rnacentral:rRNA from 1 species
CCUACGGGCGGCAGCAGUGGGGAAUAUUGCGCAAUGGGCGAAAGCCUGACGCAGCGACGCCGCGUGAGGGAUGAAGGUCUUCGGAGCGUAAACCUCUGUCAGCAGGGAAGAACGGUCCCUUUGCUAAUCAGCAGUGCAUUGACGGUACCUGCAAAGGCAGCACCGGCUAACUCCGUGCCAGCAGCCGCGGUAAUACGGAGGGUGCGAGCGUUAAUCGGAAUUACUGGGCGUAAAGGGCUCGUAGGCGGUAUGUCAAGUCAAGGGUGAAAUCCCCGGGCUCAACGUGGGAACUGCCGUUGAAACUGGCAAACUGGAGUGUGUGGGAGGAGAGUGGAAUUCCAGGUGUAGGGGUGAAAUCCGUAGAUA